CGUUUUAUUCUUUUUUCCUUUUAAAUCUGAUUUAUUUAAUAUGGUAUUUUACAUGUUCGCGUUAUAUGAAUAUGAUUAAAAUAUCGUUAGCGUAUAGCGAUGAAAUAUUUUUUUAUCGUAAGAUGAAAAUUGCACAGCAAUAUUAUAUCGUCUCUCAAACUAUAAUACACGAGUAUAAUACGCAGCGCGUAUUAAUCAAAUAUCUCAAAUGGUAACACAACAAAUAUAUAUUUUAGUCAGAUGGGAUCAGAUUAAUGCAGAUGGAUUUUUGUAAGAAGACACAAACGAUACGGGGGAUA